rnacentral:lncRNA from 1 species
GCCACACUCACAACAUGAACUGUGAACCUGAUGGAUGAUGGGAUAUGCCUGUUGAAAACAAAUAACAAGUAAGUAGUGGGAAGUCUUUCGGGCUUACAAUCAGGCAGGUGCUGACUAUAUUGUCUCAUUAGCAGAGGAGAGCAAAGAAUGGAUAAAUAGGAAAGCAGGUGUUACCGAUUCUCCCAAACAAAUCCUCAUUCUGACAUCACAAACUGAAGAAAACCAAUGUGAACUUGGAGUUUCUGCUUUUAGCUUCUGAGUGUUCCUCACCAACAUUCAGCUUUCAGUGCUGUUCCAGCACUAUUCACAAUAGCAAAGACAUGGAAUCAACCAAAUGCCCAUCAAUGAUAGACUGCAUAAAGAAAAUGUGGUACAUAUGGAAUACUAUGCAGCUGUAAAAAGGAACAAGAGGACACUCUCUGACCUGUUCCAUCAGGCUGACUCCAUGUGCAACGGCAUAGUCAGGUGCCUGCCUAGUGUGGACCAAGGAUCCUCCAUGAGCCCCUGCCACACUCUACCUCCCUUGACCCCUCUUGCAGACAACUGAAAUUCCAUUGUUUUAUAUUUAUUCCUUUAAUCUUGAAGACAUUUCUCUUUUAAAUAUCUUAUUGCAGAUGCAAAUAGCACUGAAAAUAAUUUUGUAGUGUCAUUGUUAAGAUGAAACUCAAUGAAGUAUGAAAGAUGGGUGUGCAAUUGAGGAGGGUGAGUGGGAAGCUGGAAUAACAGGAGGGAAAAAUAAAAUGUUAAAAUAAAAUAAGACAUGUGUCAAAC